GGUUAAGCGACUAAGCGUACACGGUGGAUGCCCUGGCAGUCAGAGGCGAUGAAGGACGUGCUAAUCUGCGAUAAGCGCCGGUAAGGUGAUAUGAACCGUUAUAACCGGCGAUUUCCGAAUGGGGAAACCCAGUGUGACUCGUCACACUAUCAUUAACUGAAUCCAUAGGUUAAUGAGGCGAACCGGGGGAACUGAAACAUCUAAGUACCCCGAGGAAAAGAAAUCAACCGAGAUUCCCCCAGUAGCGGCGAGCGAACGGGGAGGAGCCCAGAGCCUGAAUCAGCAUGUGUGUUAGUGGAAGCGUCUGGAAAGGCGCGCGAUACAGGGUGACAGCCCCGUACACAAAAGCGCAUGUGCUGUGAGCUCGAUGAGUAGGGCGGGACACGUGGUAUCCUGUCUGAAUAUGGGGGGACCAUCCUCCAAGGCUAAAUACUCCUGACUGACCGAUAGUGAACCAGUACCGUGAGGGAAAGGCGAAAAGAACCCCGGCGAGGGGAGUGAAAAAGAACCUGAAACCGUGUACGUACAAGCAGUGGGAGCACAGGUUUACCUGUGUGACUGCGUACCUUUUGUAUAAUGGGUCAGCGACUUAUAUUCUGUAGCAAGGUUAACCGAAUAGGGGAGCCGGAGGGAAACCGAGUCUUAACCGGGCGUUAAGUUGCAGGGUAUAGACCCGAAACCCGGUGAUCUAGCCAUGGGCAGGUUGAAGGUUGGGUAACACUAACUGGAGGACCGAACCGACUAAUGUUGAAAAAUUAGCGGAUGACCUGUGGCUGGGGGUGAAAGGCCAAUCAAACCGGGAGAUAGCUGGUUCUCCCCGAAAGCUAUUUAGGUAGCGCCUCGUGAAUUCAUCUCCGGGGGUAGAGCACUGUUUCGGCUAGGGGGCCAUCCCGGCUUACCAACCCGAUGCAAACUGCGAAUACCGGAGAAUGUUAUCACGGGAGACACACGGCGGGUGCUAACGUCCGUCGUGAAGAGGGAAACAACCCAGACCGCCAGCUAAGGUCCCAAAGUCAUGGUUAAGUGGGAAACGAUGUGGGAAGGCCCAGACAGCCAGGAUGUUGGCUUAGAAGCAGCCAUCAUUUAAAGAAAGCGUAAUAGCUCACUGGUCGAGUCGGCCUGCGCGGAAGAUGUAACGGGGCUAAACCAUGCACCGAAGCUGCGGCAGCGAACGUAUCACUUAAAGCGAUUCAGCGGGUUACGAUUGACGGAGCGAAGCGACGUCAAAGCGUAUACAAAGUCGAGUCGGUUUAAGGAUACGUUCGUUGGGUAGGGGAGCGUUCUGUAAGCCUGUGAAGGUGGCCUGUGAGGGUUGCUGGAGGUAUCAGAAGUGCGAAUGCUGACAUAAGUAACGAUAAAGCGGGUGAAAAGCCCGCUCGCCGGAAGACCAAGGGUUCCUGUCCAACGUUAAUCGGGGCAGGGUGAGUCGACCCCUAAGGCGAGGCCGAAAGGCGUAGUCGAUGGGAAACGGGUUAAUAUUCCCGUACUUGGUGUUACUGCGAAGGGGGGACGGAGAAGGCUAUGUUGGCCGGGCGACGGUUGUCCCGGUUUAAGCGUGUAGGUGUGUGUUCCAGGUAAAUCCGGUUCACUUUAACACUGAGGCGUGAUGACGAGGCACUACGGUGCUGAAGCAACAAAUGCCCUGCUUCCAGGAAAAGCCUCUAAGCAUCAGGUAACAUCAAAUCGUACCCCAAACCGACACAGGUGGUCAGGUAGAGAAUACCAAGGCGCUUGAGAGAACUCGGGUGAAGGAACUAGGCAAAAUGGUGCCGUAACUUCGGGAGAAGGCACGCUGACACGUAGGUGAAGUGAUUUACUCAUGGAGCUGAAGUCAGUCGAAGAUACCAGCUGGCUGCAACUGUUUAUUAAAAACACAGCACUGUGCAAACACGAAAGUGGACGUAUACGGUGUGACGCCUGCCCGGUGCCGGAAGGUUAAUUGAUGGGGUCAGCGCAAGCGAAGCUCCUGAUCGAAGCCCCGGUAAACGGCGGCCGUAACUAUAACGGUCCUAAGGUAGCGAAAUUCCUUGUCGGGUAAGUUCCGACCUGCACGAAUGGCGUAAUGAUGGCCAGGCUGUCUCCACCCGAGACUCAGUGAAAUUGAACUCGCUGUGAAGAUGCAGUGUACCCGCGGCAAGACGGAAAGACCCCGUGAACCUUUACUAUAGCUUGACACUGAACAUUGAGCCUUGAUGUGUAGGAUAGGUGGGAGGCUUUGAAGCGUGGACGCCAGUCUGCGUGGAGCCGACCUUGAAAUACCACCCUUUAAUGUUUGAUGUUCUAACGUGGACCCGUAAUCCGGGUUGCGGACAGUGUCUGGUGGGUAGUUUGACUGGGGCGGUCUCCUCCUAAAGAGUAACGGAGGAGCACGAAGGUUGGCUAAUCCUGGUCGGACAUCAGGAGGUUAGUGCAAUGGCAUAAGCCAGCUUGACUGCGAGCGUGACGGCGCGAGCAGGUGCGAAAGCAGGUCAUAGUGAUCCGGUGGUUCUGAAUGGAAGGGCCAUCGCUCAACGGAUAAAAGGUACUCCGGGGAUAACAGGCUGAUACCGCCCAAGAGUUCAUAUCGACGGCGGUGUUUGGCACCUCGAUGUCGGCUCAUCACAUCCUGGGGCUGAAGUAGGUCCCAAGGGUAUGGCUGUUCGCCAUUUAAAGUGGUACGCGAGCUGGGUUUAGAACGUCGUGAGACAGUUCGGUCCCUAUCUGCCGUGGGCGCUGGAGAACUGAGGGGGGCUGCUCCUAGUACGAGAGGACCGGAGUGGACGCAUCACUGGUGUUCGGGUUGUCAUGCCAAUGGCACUGCCCGGUAGCUAAAUGCGGAAGAGAUAAGUGCUGAAAGCAUCUAAGCACGAAACUUGCCCCGAGAUGAGUUCUCCCUGAGACUUUAGGUCUCCUGAAGGAACGUUGAAGACGACGACGUUGAUAGGCCGGGUGUGUAAGCGCAGCGAUGCGUUGAGCUAACCGGUACUAAUGAACCGUGAGGCUUAACCUU
rnacentral:rRNA from 3 species